rnacentral:rRNA from 1 species
CCACGCCCCGGUGAAUAUGUUCCUGAGCCUUGUACACACCGCCCGUCAAGCCACGAAAGCCGGGAGUACCCGAAGUCCCCCUCAAAAGGGCCCACGGUAAACCGGUGAUUGGGACU